rnacentral:tRNA from 1 species
UCCGCAAUAGCUCAGUGGUAGAGCAACCGCAUGGCUGUUAACCGGUAGGUCGUAGGUUCAAAUCCUACUUGCGGAGCCA